rnacentral:rRNA from 1 species
CCCAGACUCCUACGGGAGGCAGCAGUGGAGGAUAUUGCACAAUGGGGGAAACCCUGAUGCAGCGACGCCGCGUGGGUGAAGAAGCGCCUCGGCGCGUAAAGCCCUGUCAGCAGGGAAGAAAAUGACGGUACCUGAGUAAGAAGCCCCGGCUAACUACGUGCCAGCAGCCGCGGUAAUACGUAGGGGGCAAGCGUUAUCCGGAUUUACUGGGUGUAAAGGGAGCGUAGACGGCAGUGCAAGUCUGGAGUGAAAGGCGGGGGCUCAACCCCCGGACUGCUCUGGAAACUGUACGGCUGGAGUGCAGGAGAGGUAAGUGGAAUUCCUAGUGUAGCGGUGAAAUGCGUAGAUAUUAGGAGGAACACCGGCGGCGAAGGCGGCCUGCUGGACUGCGACUGACGUUGAGGCUCGAAAGCGUGGGGAGCGAACAGGAUUAGAUACCCGUGUAG